rfam:Gossypium hirsutum cultivar TM-1 chromosome 24, whole genome shotgun sequence
AACACAUGAUGAGGGCACAUUCUCAAUAAGUCCUUGAAUUUCACCCAUGCAUCAUAUAAAGUCUCUAAAUCGAUCUAGGCAAAGGAAGAAAUUUCAUUCCUCAACUU